ACACCGGCGGCCCGAGUGGUAGCCGUUUUUAUUGGGUCUAAAGGGUCCGUAGCCGGCCUGAGAAGUCCUUUGGGAAAUCUGACAGCUUAACUGUCAGGCUUCUAAGGGAUACUGUCAGGCUUGGGACCGGAAGAGGUAAGGGGUACUCCAGGGGUAGGAGUGAAAUCUUGUAAUCCCUGGGGGACCAUUUGUGGCGAAGGCGCCUUACCAGAACGGGUCCGACGGUGAGGGACGAAAGCUAGGGGAGCAAACAGAAUUAGAAACCCUAGUAGUCC
rnacentral:rRNA from 1 species